UUAGGAAUCUUGCGCAAUGGGCGAAAGCCUGACGCAGCGACGCCGCGUGUGCGAAGAAGGCCUUCGGGUUGUAAAGCACUGUCUUCUGGGACGAAACCGGUGGAGGGGAAAGUUCUCCACCAUUGACUGUACCAGAGAAGGAAGCACCGGCUAACUCCGUGCCAGCAGCCGCGGUAAUACGGAGGGUGCAAGCGUUGUUCGGAUUUAUUGGGCGUAAAGAGCAUGUAGGUGGUAUUGCAAGUCUGGUGUGAAAUCCUCGAGCUUAACUUGAGAACUGCAUCAGAUACUGCUCUACUAGAGUGCCGGAGAGGGUACUGGAAUUCCUGGUGUAGAGGUGAAAUUCGUAGAUAUCAGGAAGAACACCGGAGGCGAAGGCGGGUACCUGGACGGUCACUGACACUGAGAUGCGAAAGCGUGGGGAGCAAACAGG
rnacentral:rRNA from 1 species